GAUGAACGCUGACAGAAUGCUUCACACAUGCAAGUCAACUGUGGCGGACGGGUGAGUAACGCGUAAAGAACUUGCCUCACAGCUAGGGACACCAUUUGGAAACGAAUGCUAAUACCUGAUACUGUGAGAGAGCUUUGCGUACCAUUAGCUAGUUGCGGAGGUAACGGCUCACCAAGGCGAUGAUGGGUAGCCGGCCUGAGAGGGUGGUCGGCCACAAGGGGACUGGGACACGGCCCUGACUCCUACGGGAGGUAGCAGUAGGGAAUAUUGGACAAUGUACCAAAAUCUGAUCCGGCAAUUCUGGGGUCACGAUGUAGGUUUCGGAAUGUAAAGUGCUUUCAGUUGGGAAGCGGUACCAACAGAAGAAGUGACGGCUAACUACGUGCCAGCAGCCGCGGUAAUAC
rnacentral:rRNA from 1 species